rnacentral:rRNA from 1 species
AAAUGAAUUGACGGGGGCCCGCACAAGCGGAGGAACAUGUGGUUUAAUUCGAUGAUACGCGCGGAACCUUACCCGGGCUUGAAAUGGAGAGGAGUAUGAGGGAAACUUCAUAGCCAGCAAUGGCCUCUUUGUAGGUGCUGCAUGGUUGUCGUCAGCUCGUGCCGUGAGGUGUCGGCUUAAGUGCCACAACGAGCGCAACCCCUGUCGUCGGUUGCCAGCGGGUAAUGCCGGGGACUUCGACGAUACUGCCGCCGUAAGGUGCGAGGAAGGUGGGGAUGACGUCAAAUCAGCACGGCCCUUACGUCCGGGGCGACACACGUGUUACAAUGGGGGGUACAGAGGGCAGCAACCAAGCGAUUGGGCGCCAAUCUCCAAAUCCCCUCUCAGUUCGGAUCGGAGUCUGCAACCCGACUCCGUGAAGCUGGAUUCGCUAGUAAUCGCGCAUCAGCCAUGGCGCGGUGAAUACGUUCCCGGGCCUUGCACACACCGCCCGU